rnacentral:tRNA from 1 species
GGUAAGAUAAGCUAAUAAAGCUAGUGGGUUCAUACCCCAAAAAUGAAGUAUCCUUCUCUUAUCA